CCUACGGGAGGCAGCAGUGAGGAAUAUUGGUCAAUGGGCGUUAGCCUGAACCAGCCAAGUAGCGUGAAGGAUGACUGCCCUAUGGGUUAUAAACUUCUUUUAUAUGGGAAUAAAGUGCAGUAUGUAUACUGCUUUGCAUGUACCUUAUGAAUAAGGAUCGGCUAACUCCGUGCCAGCAGCCGCGGUAAUACGGAGGAUCCGAGCGUUAUCCGGAUUUAUUGGGUUUAAAGGGAGCGUAGGCGGGUUGUUAAGUCAGUUGUGAAAGUUUGCGGCUCAACCGUAAAAUUGCAGUUGAUACUGGCAGCCUUGAGUACAGUAGAGGUAGGCGGAAUUCGUGGUGUAGCGGUGAAAUGCUUAGAUAGCACGAAGAACUCCGAUUGCGAAGGCAGCCUGCUGGACUGUAACGGACGUUGAUGCUCGAAAGUGUGGGUAUCAAACAGGAUUAGAUACCCGUGUAGUC
rnacentral:rRNA from 1 species